GAUGAACGCUGGCGGCGUGCCUAAUACAUGCAAGUCGAGCGAACAGACGCGGAGCUUGCUCCUUCGACGUCAGCGGCGGACGGGAGAGUAACGCGUAGGUCACCUACCUAUAAGACAGGGAUAACUUCGGGAAACCGGAGCUAAUACCGGAUAAUAUUUCGAACCGCGUGGUUGGAUAGUGCAAGCUGGCUUUGCUAUAACUUCUAGAUGGACCCGCGCCGUAUUAGCUAGUUGGUAAGGUAACGGCUUACGAAGGCAACGAUACGUAGCCGACCUGAGAGCGUGUCGCCCGACUCUGGAGCUGAGCGACGGUCUAGGCUCCGACGUGCGGCCCCGGCACCGACGCGUGCGCGAUGUGGGAAAGCUUGCCGGAUGAGCGCCGGCCUGGUGCAGAAGGGCCGCGUGCCGUAUGACUGUCUUCUGGUUGAAGACCGAAUUCGGAAGGAACGGUGCACUUCGUGACGGUACCUAAUCAGGAAGCCCCGGCUAACUACGUG
rnacentral:rRNA from 1 species